rnacentral:lncRNA from 1 species
AAAAACCCCAUCCCCUAAAAUUCAACCACCACCACAUCCACCCAAAAAAGCACCUGUUUCUCUACCACCAUUAUCUAUACCACCUGUUUCACUUCCACCAUUACCAUUACCACCAGCUUCUAAACCACCAAAGGUAUCCCCAGCACCUGCAAAGGUUCCAAAAGCACCAGCACCGGCCAAAGAAGCACCAGCACCAGCACCUACACACAAAAAGAAAGCACCAGCACCCGCACCAGACAAAGAAACACCGGCACCAGCACCUACACACAAAAAGAAGAAAGCACCAAAAUCAUCACCUGUUCCUUCCCCAGCAAUUCUCCCACCAUCACCUGCACCAACACCUGCAAUAGACACACCAUCAUCAGCAC